rnacentral:rRNA from 1 species
GACGAACGCUGGCGGCGUGCUUAACACAUGCAAGUCGAACGGGAAGGCCCUGCUUUUGUGGGGUGCUCGAGUGGCGAACGGGUGAGUAACACGUGAGUAACCUACCCUUGACUUUGGGAUAACUUCAGGAAACUGGGGCUAAUACCGGAUAGGAGCUCCUGCUGCAUGGUGGGGGUUGGAAAGUUUCGGCGGUUGGGGAUGGACUCGCGGCUUAUCAGCUUGUUGGUGGGGUAGUGGCUUACCAAGGCUUUGACGGGUAGCCGGCCUGAGAGGGUGACCGGCCACAUUGGGACUGAGAUACGGCCCAGACUCCUACGGGAGGCAGCAGUGGGGAAUAUUGCACAAUGGGCGGAAGCCUGAUGCAGCAACGCCGCGUGCGGGAUGACGGCCUUCGGGCUGUAAACCGCUUUCGCCUGUGACGAAGCGUGAGUGACGGUAAUGGGUAAAGAAGCACCGGCUAACUACGUG